rnacentral:lncRNA from 10 species
AGCUUACCAUGAUCCAGGCAGGCAAUGAAAGGAGCAGUUUGCCUCUCUCUGUGAUUACCAAACCAGAGUGAAAGCCUUCAACUACGGACCACUGCAAUUUCCACCAUAACAGGCAACCCAGCAAUUAGAACUGUUUGUUACAGUGACAGCAGAGAGAACCAUUUUCAAGCAACAAGGCACAGGAGCAGGAGCUGGAGGAAGAGAGAGCCUGUUCAUUUGAAGGGGACUAACGCCACACAGCAGCUAAUCCUGGAAUGGCAGGCAGUUUUGGGAACUGCCUAUCCUGCAAAGGCUGAGAUAUUCACAGACAUUCUUGAACUUUUGGAAAUGGUCUAAUUCUGCUUUUUUCUGACCAGGAAUACAAUUGGGUCAUAAAAUUUGGCGUUUGGGAAGAGACAAAGGUUUAUCUUUAGUCCAGUGCAUAAUUUAAUUUCUUACUUCAAUAUUAAAAAUGAAAACAUAAAGGUAGGCACUUUCUUUUCAAAUUCUGGAUUUUAGUGAGUAUUUCGGUGCUCAGAAAACAUCUCACAAUUGAAACUUUGCAAACAGAGUCA